GAUGAACGCUGGCGGCGUGCCUAAUACAUGCAAGUCGAGCGAACAGACGAGGAGCUUGCUCCUCUGACGUUAGCGGAGGACGGGUGAGUAACACGUGUAUAACCUACCUAUAAGACUGGGAUAACUUCGGGAAACCGGAGCUAAUACCGGAUAACAUGUUGAACCGCAGUGUUCAACAGAGAAAGACGGUCUUGCUGGCACUUAUAGAUGGAUCCCAGCCGCAUUGUCGAGUAGGUAAGGUAACGGCUUACGAAGGCAACGAUGCGUAGCCGACGUGAUAGGGUGAUCGCACACACGGGAACUGGGACACGGUCCAGACUCCUAAGGGAGGCAGCAGUAGGGAAUCUGCCGCAGUGGGCGAAAGCCUGACGGAGCAACGCCGAGUGAGUGAAGAAGGUCUUCGGAUCGUAAAACUCUGUUAUGAGGGAAGAACAAAUGUGUAAGUAACUAUGCACGUCUUGACGGUACCUAAUCAGAAAGCCACGGCUAACUACGUG
rnacentral:rRNA from 1 species